rnacentral:rRNA from 1 species
GACGAACGCUGGCGGCGUGCUUAACACAUGCAAGUCGAACGGAAAGGCCUCUUUCGGGGGGUACUCUAGUGGCGAACGGGUGAGUAACACGUGAGUAACCUGCCCUUGACUUUGGGAUAACUUCAGGAAACUGGGGCUAAUACCGGAUAGGAGCUCCUGCUGCAUGGUGGGGGUUGGAAAGUUUCGGCGGUUUGGGAUGGACUCGCGGCUUAUCAGCUUGUUGGUGGGGUAGUGGCUUACCAAGGCUUUGACGGGUAGCCGGCCUGAGAGGGUGACCGGCCACAUUGGGACUGAGGUACGGCCCAGACUCCUACGGGAGGGAGCAGGGGGGAAUAUUGCACAAUGGGUGGAAGGCUGAUGCAGCAGCGCCGUGUGCGGGAAGACGGCCUUCGGGGUGUAAAACGCUUUCGAUCAUGACGAAGCUUUGUGUGACGGUAGUGGGUAAAGAAGCACCGGCUAACUACGUG